AUUGAACGCUGGCGGCAGGCCUAACACAUGCAAGUCGAACGAGUGGCGGACGGGUGAGUAAUGUAUGGGAAACUGCCUGAUGGAGGGGGAUAACUACUGGAAACGGUAGCUAAUACCGCAUACCAUCGGAUGUGCCCAGGUGGGAUUAGCUAGUAGGUGGGGUAAAGGCUCACCUAGGCGACGAUCCCUAGCUGGUCUGAGAGGCUGAGCGGCCACACUGGGACUGAGACACGGCCCAGACUCCUACGGGAGGCAGCAGUUGGGAAUAUUGGACAAUGGGCGCAAGCCUGAUGCAGCCAUGCCGCGUGUAUGAAGAAGGCUUUCGGAUUGUAAAGUACUUUCAUCAGGGAAGCGGUACCUACAGAAGAAGCCCCGGCUAACUCCGUGCCAGCAGCCGCGGUAAUAC
rnacentral:rRNA from 1 species